rnacentral:lncRNA from 1 species
GAAGGGAGAGGUCGAGAUCUCGAAGACCAUGGACAGGGCCCAAAAAUCAAGGAAGAAAAACAGAGGAAGCCAUCUUCUUGCAGUCGUCCCUUGCAGUUGGCUUGUGAUCGGCCAUGGCGACGGGCGAGGUUGAGAUCUCGAAGGCGUGUACGGAGUUCAAAUAUCGAGAUCUAUCAACCCUUGCAGUCGGCUUGUGGUCGGCCAUUGAUGAACG